UCCCCCGUGGUGUAAUUGGCAGCACUCUAGAUUUUGGUUCUAGCUGUUCAGGUUCGAGUCCUGGCGGGGGAG
rnacentral:tRNA from 1 species